rnacentral:rRNA from 1 species
UACGUAGGUGGCGAGCGUUGUCCGGAAUUACUGGGUGUAAAGCGCGUGUAGGCGGGAGGCCAAGUCUGCGGUGAAAUCGCUCGGCUCAACUGGGCGGGGUCCGUGGAAACUGGUCACCUGGAGGACGGUAGAGGCGAGUGGAAUUCCCGGUGUAGUGGUGAAAUGCGUAGAGAUCGUGAGGAAGACCAGUGGCGAAGGCGGGUCUCUGGACAGUUCCUGACACUGAGGCACGAAGGCCAGGGGAGCAAACGGG